UGAGUGCUUCUACAACAUCAGCAUGUCAACAUGCAAGCAUCACAUCAAUUACCAACCUUUCUACGAAGUGCAUGACACACCAAAUAUUAGACAAGUACUUAAUAAACAUGAGUUCCCCAACUAUACAUUACAUACUACGAAACUGUCUCUUUGGCUUCAGCAGGCUUUUCCCAGUAUCUCAAAAAUCAACGGUCUCCUGAUAGGAAAAACAUGACAAAAAUAUGAGUUUGUAACUCAGUGAGUGGAUGAUUUGCAAAUAAGUAAACUUUUUCUAUUUAUGCAUAUUUUCUAAAAAUUUUAACUUUAUUAAAUCCUUGAGAAUUUCUGAAUCUAGUAAUACUUUUAAAAACUAAGCAUGAUUACAUUAUAAAAUUCUUUAUUCUAAAUUCUAGAUAAAUAUCUGUGAGAUAUAACAAAUAUAAAGAAUUUGAUAUUCAUG
rnacentral:lncRNA from 1 species